rnacentral:rRNA from 1 species
AUGGAUAUGAAGAUCGCGACUACCGGCAACGAAGAAGUAGACUUCUUGUCGGAUCCAAUGGACAGAUUUCCCCUGCCGGAUCUGGCCGGCGAAGAUCUGGUGCUCGCCCAUGGCAGAAGCCAAGCUGUAGUAUGCGAACCUGCUGAAUCCAACAUUGGCGAAGCGGGGGACGCCGUACUAGCAGUGGAAAAUGACUUGAACAGCACAUGUCAGGGGAUUGCCCUCUCUGCGCCAGCCUCCGAGCAAUCUACGGGGAAAGACGACCCUCAAGCCCCUGCCUGGGCGAGGAGAAUCCGUGUUGAGAGGAGUGCGCUGGAACUAACAAUACGAAGCUAUGCAGAAAAGAAAACUGAAACUGUCAUAGUUCCUGCUAUGGGAGGCAGUUUUGAUACGCUUGGGGAAGCUUAUGAUUACUACAAUCUAUAUUCAUGGGAGGUUGGGCUUGGUAUAAGAUAUGGGAAGAAACCUCUAAAUGUCGAAAGAACAAAAUGCAUGCAGGAGAUAGUUUGUGGCUGCUCCGAAAGUACUCGUUUCAUUUUCACUUGCACAUAUCUCUGCCUAGGUGGCAAUGCAUAA